CAACACCACACUCUUUUAACCCUAUGCUAAAUAGGUCAGAAACAUAGUCAUCUGCCCUAUUUCUCUCUCUCUUUUUUUUUGCGUGCACCUCUCUUCUGACAGAAAAUGGCAUGGGAGAAGAGAGCUCCUACACGCUGAGCCAUCCAAUCUAGAUCUUUCCCAUACACAUCUCUCUUGUGAUAAGAAAAAGAGAUGGGAGAGUAGAGCCUACCGUCUGUAGUUUCUUAGAUCCGUUCAAUCCAAAUCGCUACCUUUUCUUUCAAAUAGAACAUCUUUUUCUUUUUUUCUUGCAUGUUGGAUGCAUACCAUCUGUCCCCCUG
rnacentral:lncRNA from 1 species